UAGCAAAGUGGCUAAGAAGCUGGGCUCUGGGUGAGAUAAACUCAGCCCCUACCCCUCACUCUGCUUGUCUGCAAAAUGGGGACGUCUGAGGUCAUCUACCCAUAGGCCUGCUGAGAGGUGUACAGAGUAAUGCAUACAGGAUCCUUAUCCCAGGGCAGCAGGGCUCCAUUGGCAUUUGCUACUGUGAUUAUUCGUGGAGCGAGCGUUGCCGGUAGAGGAGGCCCCUGGUGUGCCAGGAGGAUGAGAACAAACAAACAGUUACGAGAACUGAACACAGGACCGUGAGUUGUGAGCGUGCGGGCCGUGAACACAGCGAGGGCAAACAGGAACGUGUCUCCGGAAGCUACCACGAUCUGGGGGAUAGUCUGCACCCCGCCACAACAGAGAUUAUACAUAUGUAAAAUUAUGCAUAUGUCCACGUGGGAACAGUGCAAUGCUCACAGAGCCCAGAAGAUGAUGUCAGAGCCCCUGAAGCUAGAGUUACAGAAGGUUGCAAGUUACCCAAGGCUGGCCUCAAACUCCUGAAUUCAAGAAAACCUCCCAGUUCAGCCUCCCAAAUAACUGACAACAGGCGCCCUGCACCCAGGAGGCUUGGUCCAGGUGGAGAACUCGGGGGACUCUAAUCACUGACUGCAGGCCUGGCCUCGGACAGCAGAAGCGCAGAGAGCAGCCCUGCAUGAGGGCCGAGGAGGACAGGUGUUUGAAGAUGGAAAAAUUAAGUCCUGACGCUGUACAACAACCUACAGUGAAUGUUCCAGAGAACUGACUGGAUGCAGCCUGGGGAAAAAGAGUCUUUUCAAAAUUUCAAUUUCGGGGCACAUGGACCAUAGGCCAAGGACACACGGGCUGCGAACCAGGGAAAGCCCAGCUGCGCCUCGGUUGCAAAUUUGCAAAGAAAAGAAAGCGAUUCAAAGGAUGCCAGUAUGACGUGGGCAGGACGCAGGGUAAAGGAUAAGAGCUGUGUAUUGGAAUCUUCCAGGUAUCGUACUGGGGAUGAAGGUGCCAGCGAAUCCACUUGCACAAGAAAGGAGUCGGACGGAAGACCUUCUAGAACAUUUCCUUUUGGGCAAGGGUGUCCCUUUUCCCCAUUUCUUCUUGUCCUCUCUAAAAGGCCUCCUGUACUUCCUUCUAGUGUCAUGAAAGCUGGCAAACCUGACUGGUCUGGCAGAGACGAGAGGGGACGCAGCCUGUCAAGCAAAGAUGGGUAUGCCACCCUUGACUCUGGGCCCUUCUCGUCCUUUCCCUCGGCCUCAGUUCCCCCUCGAGGCGAUAAGAUUGCCUUGAGGCCAUGUUCUUCAAAGGGGAGUUUCAUUAAUGACUGACAGUUGUUGUUUUCAUGAUCUGAGGGCUAACAUGGAGGUCGGAGGGGAGGGCGGGGUGCAGAGCCGAGCUCCAAAGCUCAGACAAAGUUAACUGCAGGCCCUUUAAGCAAGAUCCAAACAGAAACAUUUCCCUCUUAAUUAAUGGCUGCCUUUGAGGUUAUUAAGUUAGACUGGGUAGGUGUGUGGCCUUUCUUUCUACUGCCCUUCCAAUUAACAGGCACUUUGCUUGGUAAAUGUUAAUUUAGAGUAAUUGGGUGUGCAGAGGAGGGGCGGGAGUGAAGGCCUGUACUGCAGGUUAAUUGCUGGUAAGUGUCGUUCCUGCAGCCUUGGGCCUGGAUGAUUAAUGGCCUCAGAGUACUGGAGAAACCCCUGAGGCCAGCAGAGGCUGCCUGGUUUUAACCCUUCGGUUACCAGAAUGAGAAAAAUAGCAGAGGCACUCACUGGGUGCAGAGCAGGGGCCCUGUGGGGGUGCUACUCCCCCUGUGGGCCACUUCCGGCCAUACAUCUCCAACGCUGAAUAUUGCCCAAGGUAAGCUCAGCCCUAACCGCAUCACUCUAUAGGUAGAAGGACUAAGCAAUUGAACUAGAGAUCGCCCUGAGAUGUUGUGACCUGGAGAAAUAAAAUCAGUUUCUACCCUUCCCUCCAACACCCAACGCCGAGUUUCUGCUGUCACUUAGCAACCCUUCCAUCCACAUCAGUCUGGGACAGCUAGGAUGAUGCUAGUAUGUUGGCUUAGUGUAGCGAUGACAGAGUUUUGAAGAAGGCAUCGAAGUUCAAGGGCCCUGGUAAGGGACAGUAUUCCUGCAGCAAAGGGGUCUGCAGCAUCUCUUGGAAGGCCUCAGGGGCUCAGCAGAGACUGCCCUGUAGAUUUCCUUGUGGAGGAAGACUUCCCUGAACACAGGGAUGCUGAGUCCUCCCACUGUCCAGCCUUCCUUUCUAUAGGUUUCAAAUUUUGGGCUCUUCUAGCCAGCCCCAUAAUUACAUAAGCCAAUUCCUUGCAGCAGAUCUUAGUGUAUACCUCGUGCAGGUUCUGGUGUUUAACGUCAGUCCAUCAGAUAGAUUUACAGCCCAGAUUUUUGUUCUUUUAAAAAAAUAAUAUGAUAUA